CGGCUGCUCAGUAACACGUAGUCAACUUACCCUAUGGACGAGGAUAAUCUCGGGAAACUGAGCAUAAUACUCGAUAGAUCAUAAUGCCUGGAAUGGUUUAUGGUUGAAAUGAUUCAUCGCCAUAGGAUGGGACUGCGGCCUAUCAGCUUGUUGGUGAGGUAAUGGCCCACCAAGGCGAUUACAGGUACGGGCUCUGAGAGGAGAAGCCCGGAGAUGGGUACUGAGACAAGGACCCAGGCCCUAUGGGGCGCAGCAGGCGAGAAAACUUUGCAAUGUGCGAAAGCACGACAAGGUUAAUCCGAGUGAUUUCUGCUAAAGAAAUCUUUUGCAAGUCAUAAAACCACUAGUGAAUAAGGGGUGGGCAAGUUCUGGUGUCAGCCGCCGCGGUAAAACCAGCACCUCAAGUGGUCAGGAGGAUUAUUGGGCCUAAAGCAUCCGUAGCCGGCUCUGUAAGUUUACGGUUAAAUCCAUGUGCUCAACGCAUGGGCUGCCGAAAAUACUGCAUAGCUAGGGAGUGGGAGAGGUAGACGGUACUCGGUAGGAAGGGGUAAAAUCCUUUGAUCUAUCGAUGACCACCUGUGGCGAAGGCGGUCUACCAGAACACGUUCGACGGUGAGGGAUGAAAGCUGGGGGAGCAAACCGGAUUAGAUACCCGGGUAGUCCCAGCUGUAAACGAUGCAGACUCGAUGAUGCAUUGGCAUAUAGCCAGUGCAGUGUCGCAGGGAAGCCGUUAAGUCUGCCGCCUGGGAAGUACGUACGCAAGUAUGAAACUUAAAGGAACUGGCGGGGGAGCAG
rnacentral:rRNA from 1 species